UGGCUUAAUCUUUGAGACAAGCAUAUGACUACUGGCAGGAUCAACCAGGUAGCAUUCCUCUUUGACGUAGCCCACCAUGCACGGACAAGCCGAGACAUGGUAGACAAUCGUUUUGGAGAAGCGAGAACGCUUAACGAGAGCAAAUUCAGGAUCUUAUAAGACCCAUGCCCACAUUAGGUUCCGUAUACAAGAGACCAAGCGAUGCUUCAUAGGCCACAUUAAUGUUGCAAAUGCAACAACAAGAUGGAUCACAAAGACCGCUUCAAUGUUCAUCCCACGUCACAUGAGCGACGACGCAUGACGAAUAGAGACAUCAUAAAACCCACACGUUACCAUCAACUAGGUAUGCAACACAGGAAACCCACAAUAUGCUUAAGACAUCUAAGCCUUGCCGCAAAACUGAAGAGGUAUGCACGCAUGGACGUUGCUGCGCGAGCAGACAGCCAACCACCCGUAACAAACCAAACACCACUCAUGCACCUUUACGGUCGACAUUCCCGAAAACCGCCCAACUAGUAGCCACCCACCCGGCAAAAAGCCAAGCAAGCAACCAAAAGCCAAAACAGCCCCCAAAAUGCACC
rnacentral:misc_RNA from 1 species